CCUUAUAACAGCCCUCACAGUGUCCCUUAAAACCACUAGACCCUGCUGUUUGUUCAUUGGAAGAGUUAGCCCAGCGAUUCGGAUGCUGGGGAGGUGAAGCUCGCGGGGCCGCCAGGCCGCCGGGCUUUUGACCAGCUUCUGUGGAACAUCUCUACCCUGCCCUGCAGACUACCCUGUGACUCCUGGAAGUCUAGGUCCUUUGUUGCAUGGAGAGGAUGCAAACCACGUGCUGCAGCUCCCGAUGCCUUUUCCGAGCAGAUUCCUCAGAGGGGGUGCCUGACAUCAGAGAUGAAUUUCAGCCAAUGCCUCCGAAGAGGCAGAUGCAGAAACCUCACUCCUCUCAGUAACCCUGAGCAAAGCACUCAACCUCUCUGAGCCUCGGGUUUCCAUCUGUAAAAUGGGCUCAAGCUAAGUUGUCUCUCC
rnacentral:lncRNA from 10 species